CGGGGGAUAGCUCAAUUGGUUAGAGCGCUGCCUUCUGGGAAACCGGAUGACGAUCUGGCUACUGGAAUACGGGGCAGAGGUUGUAAAAAAUACCAGGAAGUACAACUGGUAGGGUUCGAGUCCUGCUCCCCUGA
rnacentral:tRNA from 1 species